UGAGCCCUGCUGUGUACGUGAUGUUGCUCUACGUUUUGAGCCAACAGUCUCCGUAAGGGCUCCCAUUUCAAUAGAAAUUACGCGAUAGGCUCGAGCCAAGGCGGAGUUUCUGGAUAGGAGCCCACCUGCGAAAGCAGGUUCAAAACCUCGUAACACACGGCAUAAGCGGGGUUCAA
rnacentral:other from 1 species